rnacentral:rRNA from 1 species
GACGAACGCUGGCGGCGUGCCUAAUACAUGCAAGUUGAGCGAUGAAGCUUGGUGCUUGCACCAAUUUGAAGAGCAGCGAACGGGUGAGUAACGCGUGGGGAAUCUGCCUUUGAGCGGGGGACAACAUUUGGAAACGAAUGCUAAUACCGCAUAACAACUUUAAACAUAAGUUUUAAGUUUGAAAGAUGCAAUUGCAUCACUCAAAGAUGAUCCCGCGUUGUAUUAGCUAGUUGGUGAGGUAAAGGCUCACCAAGGCGAUGAUACAUAGCCGACCUGAGAGGGUGAUCGGCCAAAUUGGGACUGAGACACGGCCCAAACUCCUACGGGAGGCAGCAGUAGGGAAUCUUCGGCAAUGGACGAAAGUCUGACCGAGCAACGCCGCGUGAGUGAAGAAGGUUGUCGGAUCGUAAAACUCUGUUGGUAGAGAAGAGCGUUGGUGAGAGUGGAAAGCUCAUCAAGUGACGGUAACUACCCAGAAAGGGACGGCUAACUACGUG